CACUAUCGUUAACUGAAUACAUAGGUUAACGAGGCGAACCGGGGGAACUGAAACAUCUAAGUACCCCGAGGAAAAGAAAUCAACCGAGAUUCCCCCAGUAGCGGCGAGCGAACGGGGAGCAGCCCAGAGUCUGAAUCAGCUUGUGUGUUAGUGGAACGGUCUGGAAAGUCCGACGGUACAGGGUGAUAGUCCCGUACACCAAAAUGCACAGGUUGUGAACUCGAAGAGUAGGGCGGGACACGUGGUAUCCUGUCUGAAUAUGGGGGGACCAUCCUCCAAGGCUAAAUACUCCUGACUGACCGAUAGUGAACCAGUACCGUGAGGGAAAGGCGAAAAGAACCCCGGCGAGGGGAGUGAAAAAGAACCUGAAACCGUGUACGUACAAGCAGUGGGAGCACCUUCGGGUGUGACUGCGUACCUUUUGUAUAAUGGGUCAGCGACUUAUAUUCUGUAGCAAGGUUAACCGUAUAGGGGAGCCGCAGGGAAACCGAGUCUUAACUGGGCGUUAAGUUGCAGGGUAUAGACCCGAAACCCGGUGAUCUAGCCAUGGGCAGGUUGAAGGUUGGGUAACACUAACUGGAGGACCGAACCGACUAAUGUUGAAAAAUUAGCGGAUGACUUGUGGCUGGGGGUGAAAGGCCAAUCAAACCGGGAGAUAGCUGGUUCUCCCCGAAAGCUAUUUAGGUAGCGCCUCGUGAAUUCAUCUUCGGGGGUAGAGCACUGUUUCGGCUAGGGGGUCAUCCCGACUUACCAACCCGAUGCAAACUACGAAUACCGAAGAAUGUUAUCACGGGAGACACACGGCGGGUGCUAACGUCCGUCGUGAAGAGGGAAACAACCCAGACCGCCAGCUAAGGUCCCAAAGUCAUGGUUAAGUGGGAAACGAUGUGGGAAGGCACAGACAGCCAGGAUGUUGGCUUAGAAGCAGCCAUCAUUUAAAGAAAGCGUAAUAGCUCACUGGUCGAGUCGGCCUGCGCGGAAGAUGUAACGGGGCUAAACCAUGCACCGAAGCUGCGGCAGCGACACUAUGUGUUGUUGGGUAGGGGAGCGUUCUGUAAGCCUGCGAAGGUGGCCUGUGAGGGUUGCUGGAGGUAUCAGAAGUGCGAAUGCUGACAUAAGUAACGAUAAAGCGGGUGAAAAGCCCGCUCGCCGGAAGACCAAGGGUUCCUGUCCAACGUUAAUCGGGGCAGGGUGAGUCGACCCCUAAGGCGAGGCCGAAAGGCGUAGUCGAUGGGAAACAGGUUAAUAUUCCUGUACUUGGUGUUACUGCGAAGGGGGGACGGAGAAGGCUAUGUUAGCCGGGCGACGGUUGUCCCGGUUUAAGCAUGUAGGCUG
rnacentral:rRNA from 1 species